AUUAUAUUCUCAUCAAAACACCAGAUAACCACUUUACUGUCAUUCUAAACAAACAAAGAGAUUCAUAGCAGCAUCUUGAAGUAAAACAAAGAUGUUCAAACACUUUUUACAAAAUGAUUUAUAUGCAUUAAAGUCAGAUACAAAUAGAAAUGGCAACCUUUUUUAGGGGAACCAGAAGUAUCAAAUGUUUUGUACUUUGUUAAAAUCUUUUUUCUUUGUUAACCACAUCCUAUGUGCUAGAGUACAGAUCCAAAACAACAAAAAUUGUGUCACAGUCUAUUUCCAGUAAAUACAUUUCAUGGCAUCAAAUACUGAGUUACUUUGCCAGUUUCCUGUACCCUUAGGGUUGGACCGUUUGACCAAUCACCAAGCUAGAUUCUGUGAAAGGAAAUACUGUGUUUCCUGAAUUUCCUCUACUUACAAGAGUUCUCUGCCUCAGGACUGGAGUUUUGCAUACUUUGUCUUUUUCUAAGAGGUGGGUGUAUAGCAGUAACUUAGGACCCGACCAUUGCCUUGAUUCCUGGAAUCAUGACUAUAUCUACUGAAGUCCGACCGUGGUAACCUGUGUUGGCCUCUGCCUAGAUGCAUUUGAAAAAUGGAUUUGGAGAAGUCCAUUUAAAAGUGGAAACAGCUAUGCCAAAUGAGUCCCUCACUGCAGAAUCCCUCACACCCUUCAGAGAGGCAUGAAAACCUGACAGGCUUGUGGACAGAUGCGAUCACAUAACGAACCCUGGACGUCUACCACCUCAGAGCUGUAAGACCUCGGCUAUGUCCCAUUGCUGCUGGAAUAUGGAGGUGAACAUAACUAUACUGCUUCUUGUUCUGGCUGGGCUCCUAAUCCUGGUCCUGUUCUACCGUGUCCUGCUUCUGCGCCACAAGUUGCGUGUGGUUCAGGCCAGGAACGCUCUGGAGUACUGCAGCUUCUACCACAUGGCACACUAUAGCCUCAAACACCCAGACCUGCCACCUACCUUACCUGUGGCGACUCAUUUGGUUACACAGCCCCAUCCUGCCCCACCUCCACCCACUGGUGUUCUUUCCCCAGCUCCACCUGUUGUUCCAGCUCCUCCUGUUGUUCUCAACCUGCCUCCUCCUCCACCCCCCCCACUGCUGUCUCUGGCUCCUCCCACUAUCUACACCACCCCACCUAGCCCUCGCUCAGACAUGGAAGUGUACUCCCAUAUUGGGGUGCUGCGGACAUCCAGACUCUCAUGUGUGAGUCAGACCCAAGUGGUUCUUUUUGAACACUCAUCCCUGUGACCCUGUGGAGAAAAACACCAUCACUUUUAUCAUGCAUUUUGCUGAAAGGCUUGCUUACUUAUUCUAGCGUAUUAUGCAUUUUUGUCAUGGUCACAUUUCUUUCCAUAACCUGUGUCUUCAGAGACAGAUUGUGCAAACAUUCUGAAACCAAAUAAUGGUUCAGUCUGUUGGUAUUCAUUGCAGAGGUUUUCAAUGUAUUUCAGAUGUUUAUAAUCAUAUGUUGACCUCUUUUUUUUCUCUUUCAAAUGUCAAGAUGCCCGACCCAUACCACAUUUUGCAGUUUAUUUUUGCAUAAAUUGUACUAUUGUAUAUCAUAUCAAGCUGUGUUGUAGAGGUGUAGGGUUAUAGUCUGGACUAUUCUAUGUAUCUGUGUAUUCUCUGUAUAGUGUCUGUAUUUGUGACUGAGAGAGGCUAGUUCCUCCGAUUUCCUGAAUAACACUGACUUCAUUAUUUCCUGAAUAGGGUGGGUUUUCCUGAACAGCUCUGUAAUGCAAUUUUUUUUCCCAUUUCCUUUGGUGAGUAUUGGUCAGUGUCCUUUUUUUCUCUGCUCAUUUUUUAAUUUUAGUCUAUGUUUGUGUUCAAAUUAUUGGCAAAUUACUAAUUUACUGAACCCUGGGCAUUUUCAGCAUAUCCACUUACUAUAAACUGAAACAAAAACAAUUGUUUUUGUUAGUGCUGCAGCUUAAAGUAAGCAAGUGAAAAGGGGCUAAAAAAUCAAAGAAAUCUUGGACAAAAAUGUAAUUAAAUACUUUUAGAUGAAAAAUAAGAUCAUUGUUUAGCACAAAGCUGCAGCAAGCAAUAGAUUAUAAGAAGCAUUUAGAGGAAGUUACUUAAUUAAGUUCUAGUUAACUGGUUCUUGGGUACCAACCAUAUUUUCCCAGUCUCUCCAUGUCCAGGUCACUGUCUACAUAAAAUAAUCUACAAAUAACAAUGAAAAUUAAACCUAUACAAUGCAACUUGUCUUUAUUUACAUAUAGCAGUAUGCAAAAUUAUUUCAUAAUCAAAGAAUUAUAGAUUUGAGAGAGCAACUUUACACUCUCUUUUUAAUUACUUAUUUGCAAAGACUCUUUCAGGCUGCAUGUUGUAUCUGUCCAAGUUCAUAAGCUUCUUCAUCUCUUCUGCAUAAUGAUUCUGUAUUCACCUCUUUCAUGGCCAAAAAUAUAGUCCAUAUAAAUAUUUCACUAUUCUCCAUCCUGUUCUCUAUCUGAUUAUAUAUAACUCAACAUUAUUGUUAAAAUGGCUGCCGUAAAUAUUUCGUAAAUAUUAGUGUUUGGAUCAAAGAUGAUGCAGGCUUUAGUUUGGCUGGCAGGUUAAUGCAAAGCACUGUGGGAGGAAACCUGGGAAUUUAUAAACCCUGGUGAGACUGGGGACAGGCAUGUGUUAUCAGUACUCAGGUGAAGUAUUGCUGACGUGUGAAGGGAAAGAGGUGUGUUGCAAACAGGUGUGUUACUGUGAUUGGUGCUCAUGGGGUGUAUGUGUACACUGCCUUGUGUGUGGCUGGAUAUCAGUUAGAACGUGACAUCUAAAAGCAUAUUAGUGAUUCUUGAAUUGGUAAGUAAUUCAGCUAAUUAUAAAAAAUUGAAUGGGGUGUAUCUUUUCUUUAUGUGAAAUAAUUAGACAAUUUGAAUUGUCUGUUGUUAUUGCAUGGCAUGUUCAAUUCUCCUAAAUCUUUCACAAAGAUGUAACAACAUGUUAACGGAAUAAAUCAACUCUUUACAGCAGUUUGUUCAUUAACUUAUCAAAGUUGUAAAAGUGUUAUUCCCCAUGAUUUUAUAUUGGUUAAAUAAAUGUAGCUGGUGUAUAAACUGGUGGGGAGAAAAGUAACCUUACACAUUCACAGUAAGUUUCAGUUUGUUUUACACUAUCUAGGGCCUGCAAACUUUUUGUAAAAUAGAGGCUACUCUAAAAUAGCAUUCUGCUCUAUAUGUGUUAUGAUGUGUAGCUCUCAAUUUAUCCUUAGAUUAUGAAUUAUAUCGAUACUGAGAAAUUGCAAAAUCUCAGAGAACACAAUUCAACCUGUUCAUGGAUCAUGGACACCUAAACUCUCCCAUUAAGUGCCAGUUCUACUCUAAGUAACAUUCAGCACUGAGUUGUUUGUCUUGGCUGAUAUGACAGCAAUUAGGAUUCUGUCAAAUUAAAGCUGUUCCAGUUGGAGAAAUUCUGAAGUGACAAGUGUAAUUCCUGUUGACAGAGUAAGCCAAGAACCAUCUGGAUACUAUCCAAAGAAGUGGUUUGCAUGAGUGAUAUGUUGUGUGGAGUCAUUGUGUGCAAGCAUACAAAGCUUUUUUUAUGGAUAGAGUUUUGGAUGUAGUUUUGGUCUUCAGAUGUCUGGAAUCUGCAUUUUAUUUUUUUUAUUUAUUUAAACAGAGCAUAAUGUUUUCUUUUUUCAUGUAAUUCAAGUUGGACCACGUUGCACUUCUGCCAGGGUCUCUAUGUAACUCAGCAGAACAUCUCUGUUUAGCAUUACAUGAGCGCUGUUUGCUUUGUAUUGUUUUAUGUAUUUUGGUUGUGAACAGUUCUCUUUCAUACCCUAGGAACAGAAGCUGUUUAGUCCUCACCUCCCACCCAGGAAUCACUUUCAUAUCUUCUCUGGCAUAAUGACAGAAUACAUCAGAGUCCAAGAAAAAGUACAUUUUUGAAUUGAAAAACAGAAAAGUCUUGUGAUUUUUAAAUAUGUGCUACAAACAUGAAACACAUAAAGCUAACUUAUGUAGA